GUGCUUGCUUCACCAGCACACGUACUAAAAUUAGGAUCACAUAGAGGUUGAGCAUGGUCCCUGAUCAGGGAUGACAUGCAAAUUCGUGAAUCAUCCUACAAUAAA
ensembl:snRNA U6 U6 spliceosomal RNA